rnacentral:lncRNA from 1 species
CCCGAAUUCAUUCCUAAAGGCCAAGACAGCCUUAAGGGCAGAUGUGUGUAGAAAGGCAGUUUCAUGGAAGUGCAAGGGGAGUUAUGAACGACCCUGUGGUAGGUUUUCACCACUGAUGAACACGUCCUAGGCUUCCUCUGCAUCUUGGGAACACACGCAAACACCCAGGAGAGAAGGGAGAAGGCCGGACUUCACUCACAAUGGCAUGAAUAGCCUUGAAGGUGGAUGCAGUGUAGAAACUGGUUUCAUGGAAGAUCCAUGGAAGGGAUCAGGGGUGCGACCCGUGAAUGGAUCUUAUCAAUACAGGAGGUAUGUGAUAAGGGUUGAUAGUUGCGUGCACUGGAGGAGCAUGGCCGAACAUAAUAAGGAAAGGCACAUGAUCUAAUCAGAUCAUGUAUAAGGUAACCGGUUUUAUGAUUACCUUUGAAUUACAAUUCUGUUGACUGUGGAAUUGAUCAUGGCCAAGUAUGGCACGUCCUUGAGGACUAUAUAUAUUAGGAAUGUUUAUGGUGUAGUCUGUUGGAUCAGGCCUGAUGGCACUGAACCAAGGCCUUGGCCGGUUCAGGAAUGGUGCCCAUGGCCUUGGCCGGGCUGUUCAUGAUCAGGAUCUAUAUGGUCUGGGUCGAUUCUUUGGAAUCUGAUUAUGGGAAUCUCUUAGUUAUGAAUUAUCAUGAGUUUUCAUGUAUUUUAAUCAAUUUUUAGGAAUUGAUUUGAUGAUGUCCAGUUUUGGCCGGUUUGGCUGAUUUUGACCGAGAUCUAUAGGAUCGAGGCCGGUUCUGAAAAUUCUGAUUAUGGCAUUCUCUUAGUUGGGAAUUAUCAUGAAUUAUCAUGAAUUUUAAUUAGUUUUUGGAGCAUAUUUGGAAGAGGUCAUUUUUGUACCUGAGAGCAUAUUGAUGCUUAUCUGAUGGAGUUGUGUUGGGUUUGGUCAUGUGUGAACCAUUAAUCGGACUCAUGGAAGAGACACAUGGGGGUCCUGGUAUUAGAGGAACCAUGUGGAUUGCAAGGUCCAAUAUGUUUGGAACCAGCAGCAAGCCAUGAAUAAGAGUAUAGCUAGUACUUGAUGGCGUGAACCAUAAGUACUGAGCUUGGGUGUUAUUAUUCAAGGAAGGCCGUGUGUGAUCUGAUCAUGGGUAAGGAUGGACGACCUGAUCCAUAGAUGAUGGAUCAAGGUGUCUGAUCUGAUUGAUCAAAGGAUGCACCAGUGGUAAGAGGAGGGCUGAUCGGCUUUGUUGGGACAUGGUUCCAUGGCUGGUUAGGUACGUGUGAAGACUCAUCAGCUCUGGGUCAUGUGGGGUGGUUGGUUGAUUGACUCAGGAUCUGAUGGGCAUUGUUAGUCCAUGAGCUGGACUUGGUAUCAUAAGUUGCUAAGGCAAAAGGAUGUGGGACAGUGCAUGAGCCGGUAAGGGCCAGAUGCAUGUCCUUAGCUGUUUGAAGACUUCUCAAGGGUUACUUAUGUCUGUGGGGAUGGUUGGCUGAAUGACUAUGUACCUAAGGGAGUUGUUUUUUGUGUGUAAAGGAGCUGGACGCAGUAUAUGGCAGCUGGCCAUAGCUCGGUCCUAGCUCAGUUCGAGUGUGACAGCUGGAUCAGCUGGUCUAUGAGUUCAUUCAGCUAGAGUAGCUGGGCCGAUGAGCUAACAAGCUCCGUGGAUGUCGCAAAGGUAUGAUCUAGCAAUGUUCCAUAGAUCUAGAUAGAAUGGUUAGGGGAAUGGAACCUCAGAUUUGUAUGCCUUGAUUUGGGUUCGGGACAGACCUUGGAGCUAGCUGGUAGUUGAGUAUACUAACCAUUAGCCGAGGUGAUUCGACCAGACAAGUAUUCUAUUGGCUGUAGACCAAUGGUUAAGUAGAGAAUAUCCGCUGCGUAUGAGUUGAAAUGAUCUAAGCUAGGGAAUGACUAAGGUAGCCUUAAGCUAAGGUCUAAGUUAGCCCUCGCCUAUGGGUAAUAAUAUAGAUAAAGGGCAAAAUUUUGAGAGGUUCGGUCAGUGUAUGGACCGAGCGACGUGAGGCAUCGACCGCGGCCUACUCGGCCGGGAUCGGGUCUUACAAGUUGGUAUCAGAGCAUGCUUGAUACUAGGAUGUUUUGGUUGUGGUUGUUCACCCACACAUCUAGACAAGUGGAUGCUGAUGGGGUUAAUCCGCCAGUUUUGUUGCCGACUCAGUUGGAGAAGGUUAACAAGGGAGGUGGAUUGCCUAACGGUCAGCUCGACCCUACUGAGGUUUGAGUAAGAUGAACUGAGUUGCAGCUGGAACAAGAGCAGGGAACCGGUUUGAUCCGAACAUUGUUGUAAACGAUGGGAAGACUAACCGUUUGAUCAGAUAGCUGCUCCGACAGCUAAUGGUCGAGUUGUGCCAGUAGCUGAGGUGGUCGAGAUAGAUCCACCAGCUAGGGCAUCUCGAAAGGUGGACUACCUGAGUGUUUCUGGAGCACAUAGCUCAAAUGAGAACUAAGCAUUUCUCAGGUAGUAUGAAUCUUAUUGAGGCAGAUGAGUAGAGGAGCCGGUUGGUUCACAACUUCAGCUCAACUCACUGCUCAAAGACAUUAUGUCCCAAAUCAAAAUUAUUUCUGAAAACUGAAGUGACUAUGGAACCUUAGCUGUGGUGAGCCAAGUGAGAGUUGAGGUAAGUUUGGGUUUCAUGCUUGUGAACGGGGAAGUUCCAAGAUGAACUCUCCAAAGGCAAGACCCUGAAACCGAAAGGUUAGUUAUCUAGUUAUUUGGAGGUAAUAGACGUAUUGGAUGAUGGACGCAAUGCAAGAUCUUUGUAUGGACGACCAGGAUAAGGGAAGUAACAUUGACCAGGGAGUGGCUUAGGUUGAAAGAAACGUGCAGCACUCUCUUGGAGGUUAGUGUUAUUCUCUGGUGGCCGUUCUAAACAAGUGAGCAUAUGCGGUGUUCAUAUUGGUCUAAGGGAGACGAUACAUGGCUAGUACAUGAGUGGACUUGUGAUCAGAUGGAUCAGCUUGGACUCAGUGUAAGUCAAUGUAGGAUUCCUUAGAUCAGUUGAAUGGAAUGGAUCAAUUCCAAGAGGAAUUGGACCACAGAAAGAACAUGAUGUUAUGUAUCUUAGUAUGAUGAGGAUUGAGGUAUAUUUUAAACACUCUUGUGAAUGGUAUGGGACGUUCACUGAAGUGUGACAUUUUGGAGAAUGGUAUGGGAUGUUUUCCAAAUGUGUUAUCAAACCGAGAUCCUACUCAACUAGGUACCAAAUGUUGUGGGGAGUGGACCAGGUUCGGUAUGCAAUCGAGUCCAAAGAAGGACCAGGGUUGGCUUACUCGGACGAGUCCAAAUGGGAUAUAGUCAGGAUGGACUAUGAUAUGGUGGUGUCCUCCUAAAGAGUCACAAAGUGAUAUUAGGCAUGGACUGGGUUGGAAAGAAUCGAGCCACCUUGGACUGUCACCGUGGCUGAGUGCAGUUUGGGAGUGGGUGUGGACCCCCGAUCAGGUUCCAAAUUAUUUGACCGACCUCUGGAUGCUUAGUGAUAUCAGCAAUCCAAGUGGAAAGGAUGCUUGAGAAGGGUUGUGAGCCUUACUAGCCACAAUCGCCACUAAGGAGGUUGAAGGGGCUGGUGACCAGGACGGGAUUCCGCUGGUCAGUGAGUUCGAGGACGUGUUUCGGAUGCUACAGGGCAUUCCCCCUGAUAGGGCUGAUCCAAACAUAGCAGAACUGGAACCAGGGAUGGCCCCAAUGUCCAAAAGUCCCUAUUGUAUGGCUCCUGCCGAGAUGGCUGAGCUGAAGUCGAUCAAGUCCAGUGAGGGAUGAGGAUCGCAGCAACAACCAAGUCGGAGAUUGACCUAUGGUUGGGGUGCACGGUUGAGUCCUGGAGUGGACCAGAACCGCAAUAUGAUCAAGUCCGGCAAAGGAUGAGGAUCAGGACACGACCUACUCGGAGAUGGACCUAUGGUCGGGGUGUAACGGUCGAGUCCCUGAGUGGACCAGGACUGGAAUAUGAUCACGUCCUAAAUGGACCAGGAUCGAAAUAUGACAAAGUCCGGUGUGUGCUGAUGGACGGCGACGGACAGCCACGGACGUCAUGUGUGUGCUGGCGGACACCCACGGACGUCCUGUGUGUACUGAACAGACAGCCCACUUGGGCCAAAAUCACCCAAACAGUCCAUGGGAAGGGCCAGCGUGCUGAGUCCAAGGACCAACGUGCUGAUAUGUGUACUGAUGGACAGCCACAGACGUCCUUUGUGUGCUGAUGGACACAGACGGACACACACGGACAGCCACGGAGGUCCUGUGUGUGCUGGCGGACACCCACGGACGUCCUGUGUGUACUGAACAGACAGCCCACGUAGGCCAAAAUCACCCAAGCAGUCCACGAAAGGGUCAGCGUGCUGAGUCCAAGGACCAACGUGCUGAGUCCAAGGACCAACGUGCUGAUAUGUGUACUAAUGGACAGCCACAGAUGUCCUGUGUGUGCUGACGGACACACACGGACAGCCACGAAUGUCCUGUGUUUGCUGACGGACAGCCACAGACGUCCUGUGUGUGCUGGCGGACACCCACAGACGUCCUGUGUGUGCUGACGGACACAGAAAGACCCACACAGAUACACACGGACAGCCACAGACGUCCUGUGUGUGUUGACGGACAGCCACAGACAUCUUGUGUGUGCUAACGGAUAGACACAGACAGGCACGGAAAACCAAGGACGUCCUCUGUGUGCUGGUGGACACACACGGGCACACACGGGCAGCUACGGACGUCCUGUGUGUGCAGACAGACACACACGGACGUCCUGUGUGUGCUGACGGACACACACAGACAGCCACGGACGUCUUGUGUGUGCUGACGGACAGUCACGGACAGCCACAGACGUCCUGUGUGUGCUGGCGGACACCCACGGACGUCCUGUGUGUACUGACAAGACAGCCCACGUGGGCCAAAAUCACCCAAACAGUCCACGAAAAAGGCCAGCGUGCUGAGUCCAAGGACCAUCGUGCUGAUAUGUGUACUGAUGGACAGCCACAGACGUCCUGUGUGUGCUGACGGACAGAGACAUACACACACCGACAGCCACGGACGUCCUGUGUGUGCUGGCGGACACCCACAGGCGUCCUGUGUGUACUGAACAGGCAGCCCACGUGGGCCAAAAUCACCCGAACAGUCUAGGGGAAGGGUCAGCGUACUGAGUCCAAGGACCAACGUGCUGAUAUGUGUACUGAUGGACAGCCACGGACGUCCUGUGUGUGCUGACAGACACACAUGGACACACACGGUCAGCCACGGACGUCCUGUGUGUGCUGACGGACACACACAGAUGUUCUGUGAGUGCUGGUGGACACCCACGGACGUCCUGUGUGUACUGAAUAGACAGCCAACGUGGGCCAAAAUAACAAGAACAGUCCACGGGAAGGGCCAGCGUGCUGAGUCCAAGGACCAGCGUGCAGAUAUAAGUACUGAUGGACAGCCACUGACGUCCUGUUUGUGCUGACGGACACACACGGACACACACGGAUGUCCUGUGUGUGCUGACGGACACACGGAUGUCCUGUGUAUGCUGACGGACACACACGGACGUCCUGUGUGUGUUGACGGACAGCCACGGAUGUCCUGUGUGUGUUGGCGGACACCCACGGACACACACGGACAUCCACAGACGUCAUAUUUGUGCUGAUGGACAGCCACUGAAUGCCACGGACGUCCUGUGUGUACUGGCGGACACCCACGGACAUCAUGUGUGUACUGAACAGACAGCCCACUUGGGCCAAAAUCACCCAAACUGUCAUGUCCCCGGUCCAAGAUAGGAUCGUUGGGACGAGCCAUGGUGCGGGGAGACGAACCAGUCAGGUCAUUAGACCAGUAGACAAGCGUAUCAUGGCUGAGACAUAGGGUUAAGGGCAUCAAAGUGUUGAGACUUAACCAGGGUGAAGAAAGAAUGGGUUUAAUAGAGCUGGACGAGUGAUGUGGGAGCUGGAAGGGACAGCGGCCGAGCUUGGGCAGCUCAGGGAAGCUCAAUGGUGGCUCAGUUAGUAUGCAUCAGCUCGUGGAGCUAGAAGGACUAGCUCACUCAGCUAGGACCAGCUAGCAGUCAGCUCAACUCAGCUGGGCCGAGUGUUCAUGUCCGGGACGGUUGGGGCGGUUAGAUGGUGCGCCACGGUAUGGACGGUCAGUUAAAGGGCUUGGACUUCGCUUCAGGAUAUAGAACCAACAGGGACAGGAGCAGUUGGAGUCAGUUGAGGACCGGUUGGGGGCAGUUAUUGCCGAACGGUUGCAAGGGAGAGAGAGACACCUUUUUGGUUUCAACUCCCACCCCUUCGGCCCCAUGGCAGUUCCGACUCCAUCUCUCUAUAAAUACAGAGCCCUGGAUCCAGAAUUCUUGAGGGGAAUCUCUGCCAAAAUCAUGAGAGACAAACCCCAAAAAGAGAACAGAGAACCGGCGAUCCAAGGAGAGAACCGGCGAGAGGCUUGGCUGUUCCAGGAGAAACCAGAUUGUGGGAAGCAAGGCCUGAGGAGAUGGAUACCAGACAGAGAGACAGAGAGAAGGACAAAGAGAAGGAGAUGGCGCCUGGGGAAAGAACGCCUAAGGUCAGUGGUGUGGACGGCAAGCGAUCGGCCCUAGCCGGCUGAUGAUCCGAUCAGGCUUGUGGCCGGUUUGCUAUGCGCCUACAUCUACUCUCUCUAUCUCUUUAGAUUUGCUUGUCCGAUCAGAUUAUUGUGUUCGUUUGUUCUGUUCAUACAGGGAACACGGAAACAACGCCCUGGCCGGUUCAGUAUCGAAGUCCUUGGCCUUUGGCCCGACUGUUCAUGGUCGGAUUUGGAUGUUCUAGUGUGUUUUGUUGGAAACUGUUUAUGGGAAUCUCUUAGUUGGGAUUUAUCAGGGAUUAUCAUGAACUUUAAUUAGUUCUUGGGAAUUUAUUUGAGUAUGUUGGUUUGGACAGGUUAUAGAUUCUAAGUAGCCGAACCAUGCUUAUCUAGACUUGAUGUUAGGAUAUCGGCCUUAUGAAUGUGCAUUGUGUCUUGUGUGGUUUCAGGAUCGGACAUGGAACAUGAAAAGGGAAAGGCAGCGUGAAGACUCA